rnacentral:rRNA from 1 species
AUUGAACGCUGGCGGCAUGCCUUACACAUGCAAGUCGAACGGCAGCACGGGUGCUUGCACCUGGUGGCGAGUGGCGAACGGGUGAGUAAUACAUCGGAACGUACCUUAUCGUGGGGGAUAACGCAGCGAAAGCUGUGCUAAUACCGCAUACGCCCUGAGGGGGAAAGCGGGGGAUCGCAAGACCUCGCGCGAUUAGAGCGGCCGAUGCCUGAUUAGCUUGUUGGUGGGGUAAAAGCCCACCAAGGCGACGAUCAGUAGCUGGUCUGAGAGGACGAUCAGCCACACUGGGACUGAGACACGGCCCAGACUCCUACGGGAGGCAGCAGUGGGGAAUUUUGGACAAUGGGGGCAACCCUGAUCCAGUAAUGCCGCGUGAGUGAAGAAGGCCUUCGGGUUGUAAAGCUCUUUUGUCAGGGAAGAAACACCGGCUCUAACACAGUCCGGGAAUGACGGUACCUGAAGAAUAGGCACCGGCUAACUACGUGCCAGCCGCCGCAGUAA